rnacentral:lncRNA from 1 species
AGCUUCCGAUGUUGGAAAGCUGUUCUCAAGUAUUUCACUCAAGUAAUUUUAGGGUGGUGAACCUAUUAUUAUUCUCAAAAAAAAAAAAGACAAAAAAACAAAAAAUGUUGACUGGGUUGGAUGUUUUCAUGAAUGCAUCAAAUUAGAAAACUUAUAGUUAAGGUCAGCAAACGGAAUCUUGAUCGGACUUUUGUGUGAUCAUUGGUCAUGUAUGGUCCAUUUCUUAUAUCCUUCCAUACGGUGUCAGAGUAUUAAUUAAAACCGUAUUAGUAGAAAGAAAGCUUUACCAAAGAUGAAUAAUAAUGGAUUUGAAGAUUCGCAUUGCUUCAAUUUGAUUAGGCACUGCAGCAGCUUCCAGCACAUCGAAAAUUGUUUAAAUUAGAUUUUUUUUAGUAAGAAAGGUGCUAAUUUAUUGAUUAAUGUAAGAUUUUUAAGGUGAUUUGCAUGUCAUUGCUCAUAGCCCAUCUUGUAACAUGCCUCGACAACCUUUCAUGGAAGUUUUACUAACAGCCUGCACGUCCAAAACGAAACCUGCAUCUAAGAAUACUCCAGAUUAAAAAAUUAUGAGUAUUUGGAAAAAAAAGAAUUCAAAUGAGUUGUGGGCAUCUUUCUAAAUAACCAUUCUGAAUUACAUGAUGAAGCAGACAAGACUUAAUAGUUUUAUCAUGAUAUUGUGAUUUAUGACAAAAAAGCUGAUGCAUUCUUAUGAAUUAGGGUAGGUGGAAACCUGUCCUAGAAUCGAGGUGCGUGUGGGAUUGAAUCCAGGUCUCUUGCAUCAAUGAAUAUUACUAGCUAAACAAAUUAGCACCAUCAACUGGAAAUCAAGUGAAGACCCAUGGGAGGGCAAAGAAAAGAAGCAUAAUUGCCUAUGCUUGGGAGACCACCCUGAUCUCAAUUGAUAUCAAGCAACAAAUGAAACAUAUUCAUGAAAAAAUCCCCCACUCUUACCCUGAAUUCCAAGUGGAGUGUACUGAAAUUAACAUUUGCAUCAAAGUUUGCUGGAACCUUGAUAGGAAGAACGGACAACUUGUGUUAAUAUUGUUGGAGUCUCUCAUGACCUUGGAGGGACCGAAGGGUAAAAGAAACAUGUCAUAAAAAUAAAUAAAUCAUUGGAACCACAUCUGAAGCAAGUGCACAAACAAGGCAUAAAAAAAUAUAUAUGUAUCAUAUGAGAAGUGAAACACUCGCAGAAAGAAUAAAUGGAAGCUACCAAAAUACCAGCUUAUCGUAUCCGACGUUCUGUGCUUGGCGUGACAUUUCCAAGGUGUUCCCUUAGUUUGGAUUGAGGGAAAAAAACAAAACAAAACGAAAAAAAAUCAAACCUGUUGUCACAAACAAGUAACCUGGGACAAAGUUCUUGUAAUAAUAGAAGAUAACAUUAAAUUGGAUGACUAAUGAUUGUUAUCAGCUGGAGGAUGGUGUCUUAAUCCCAUAGAGGGGCGCUUAGAAGGGAAGCUUGACACAAGGUGAUAUCCAGAAAGGAACCUAUUACUUCUUGCCCUGGCAAGAAACGAAUAAACGAACCAACAUUGUUUCAAGGAAAUAGAAUGUCCCAAGUGCCAUUAUAUCAAGAAAUGGAUGCAUUACGACAAAAAAAAAGAUGAGUGACAUCCAAGUCAUACCAAACUAGAGAUGUACUCUAGCAUUAUGAGACAUGAUAAUUGAAAAAAUCUUCAUCAUGAAAACAUAGUAACAACAAUGCCCAAACAAAGUUGGGACUGUUUGACCCCAUCUUCUUGUUUUCUUAAUAUCUUCUAUAGGUUUUAUGUCUUUUUUCCCAAACACUGAUCGUGCAACCACCAGCAAUAAUGAGUGAAAAAACAGCAUUAAUUUCUCUUCCUGGAGACCUAUGAUGCGACUCCACACCAUUUACUGAUAAUCCAUCCAUUUGCUGCUUCCAAUGCAUGGCUUCCAUAGACAUAAGAAUGCAGUGAUUAACUGCAGUUGGUUAGCAUCAGUUAGUGCAGGUCAAGGGAGUGGGUUGUAGCAAAAGUGGCAUGAAUCAUGGAUUUCCCUCAGUGAAGAUCCCACCAUGGAUUUCCCUUAAUAAUCGGGGGCCAAAUGAUAGUUCACUAUCUACUGCAGUUAAGGAUUUUUCAAAAAUUGAUGUGGUUUUCAAGAUUCAGGAAGCUUAUCUACAACAAAAGAGAGGAUAUAACAUCUCCGGCUGAACAUCAUCCAUAAUCCUAGUCAUGGUCUUACCGAGAAUUAAGGGCAUAUGUCAGGCAGAUGUCCUUAAUAUAUGUUAAAGACAGAUGUUAAGUCUCACCAAAAAAAAGACAUGUCAAGCUAUUUCAAGAAUCAAAUUCCAUGCUAGGAAAUACAAGAAUCAAAUCUCUGACCACCAAGAAGCUCAGCUACAUCUCUACCCAACAACAUUUUUCUCUAACUAUAACUAACAUAAUUAGACAAAGAAGAUAUUAAGCUGUUUGGCUGGAAGUUAUCAGAUAUCAGUAACAAGAUGACAAAACACUCGAGCAUCAAUAGGAAAUCCUCUCUAAUAUGUUCAUAGAAGAUGGCCUUGCAUCCCACCUACCAACAGCGAACAGAGAGAAUUCCAAGAAAUCAACUCAAAGUAGCAGAAAUCUCUAAUGCUAUAAUAAGCUAAACCUGUUAACAGAAUGCAACGACAUAUACAUUUGCAUAAGCUUCAUAGUUAUAAGGAAACAACAGAGUUAGCUUUCAAGUUUGUGUAUACAGAUCACAGCAACCGCUCAUGAUGGGAAGGAUUCAGCACCAAAGGGAACACAAAAAAUCAGCUAGGGAAUUGACUUUGCAAAACUGCAUGUGAGCAAUAAUCACAUGUAGGGAAUUUAACAAUCCUUGGCACAUGAAUACUUGUCCAUGUUUCAUCAACAGUAAGAUAGGAAAAAAUUAUCAGACUGUCUCACAACUCUUUCACAUAAACCUAAAUUCAUCCCCAUUAAUUUCAAAGCAAUAAUGAGAGCAACCAAACAUCAAGCAGAGCAUCAAUAUUACCAGUUCAGGUUACACCUUUCCACCAUAUUUUUGCAAAUUCCUGUGAUCCCCACAAGUCAAAACAUAUUAUUUUAAAUUAUAUCUCUGUCUAAUAUUAUCAAAAGCACAUUUAUGAACUUCAAUUCUCUAUAGCACUUUUGAGUUCCAAAUGAAAUGAUAAGUGCUUCAGCUCUAACUGUCAAAGGUCACUUCAGCCAAAACAGUCAAGGAUAAUGUAAUCUCAAAUCCCAGCAAAAGAAACAUGCAAAAAAAAUAUUUAAUGGAACCUGGUUACCUGGACACUUGCAUCCAACCACUAGAAUCUGUGUCCAAGUAUAUACCCAUAUCAGAUCCACAUCAGACACUGAGGCCUUGUUCGAGAUUGUUGCUGUUAAAGAGUUUUUGGAAAUAGAGCUUUUACAAAAAGAUGUUUGCUGUUUAGUGACUAUAAAUAAUAUUGUAAUAUAAUUUAAUAUUAUUACAAUUAAAAUGUAAUAUAAUAUUAUACAAUAUGGUAUAAUAAUAUGAUAUGGUAUCAUAUAAGAUAAUAUAUAAUACUAUUACAAUAUAUUGCAAUAAAUACUAUAUUAUAGUAUAAUAUUAUAUUAUGAUAUGAUACGAUACGAUAUGAUAAUAAAUUAUUACAUAGUAUAAUAUUAUUAUAAUGUAAUGUAAUGUAAUAUUACUAUAAUAUAAUAUAUUAUAUUAUAUUGCAUAGAAUAACAAUAUAAUAAGAUAUGAUAUAGUAGUGUAUUAUUAUAUUAUUAUAAUAAUAUAAUGUGCUUACGGAAUUUGUUUAUGGGCAUUUUAGUCACUACGAAAUUUUUAUUAGAACAAAAAUUAAGAUUCGUUGUACCAGACUUGUAUCGGUUGUCUGGUAGUACAGUACGAUAUUGUGCCAUUCCAUUUCGAGCUGUACCGACACAGCCAGAGCCGGCGAAGGAGAAGAAGAGAGAAGAAAAGCGAGAGGGAUGGAGAGGGAGUGGGAGGAAGUGAGGGAGAUAGAGAGAGGAAAAGCCCUAGUCUCCUCAGGUGUUGGUUGCCCACAAAGUUUGUCCUUGUUUCAAAAUGAAAUAGGGGCUCCGCUCCUAAAUUAUUUUUUGUGAUCUCUUAAGUGAAGUUGGCAACAAAAUGUUGGGCGCUCAUUCGACCAUCUCAUGUGAGAUGGAAAAUUGGGAUUAAGCAUAUGAUUAAGAGUCCAACGAAAACAGCAAAGGUGGGAUUAGCUCUAUCAUCAACAAAAGUUGACACUUUGCUUUAUCAUUAAUGGAGCCCUAUUAAGUGAAAAAAAAAGAAGGAAAUAUUGGGAAUUGCAAUUUGACCUAGUAGGGAAACAGAAAAGGAUAGAGAUUCUCAAGAAAACAAACUGAAAGGGGAAAACCAAGGUCACUGCUCCCAUGCUGCCAUGGUGCUUGUGAAAUGGCUGAAUUAUACCCAGACCCCACCUAAAAUCUCCUACCCCUUGUGUAUUGCACCAACUCCUAACUGUGAAGCAAAACUGUGAACAGAGCAGUGAUUGGUAGCAAUGCUAGUGAUAAAAAAUAAGUCAUCUGGAAGUGAUAAGAAAGGUAAGAGAGAUGGAUUAGUGCACACCUAGGCUUCCUCAUGCCUUACGAUUCAUAGUUUUCUUUGUCCAUUGUAUUUUGUCGAGACAACGUCUUUCUUUAAUCACAAUCAUCCAACCCUUCUCUCACAUGCAACACACAAACUGAAUGCUAGUGCCACCAAGAGACAACAAGCUUCUAAUUGCCACUUGAUGGGUGCACAUCAGCACAAGUAGAUCCACUGAGCUAACAAUAACCAAUCCUUGCAGUCAUCACUAGCUCUAACAUAUGUUGCUAGCAUCAAUGCGUCAACCCUUCUGUACAUGUUCUUCCUUAGAACUCACCAAUUAAGAUUCAAAUAUAGAUGACUAAGCAAUAUCUUAUAAUGUACAAACUAGUGGUGAAGAUGAAAGCCAAACAAGUCCAAGAUAGUUACUAACAAUUAUAUAUUUAAAGUUAGACAGUAUCAUCUACAACAGAUGAAUUAUUCCAUAUGCAAAAGUGUCCCAUAACAUACCAAGUUAUCCACGGACAUAAACAAAAGUUUAUGAACCUAUCUCCCUGGAUACCUAAGGGACCAACAUGUCCAAUAAACCUCAUUCGUCAGUUUCAUAAUUUCAUACUAGUGAAAUAUAGAUUAGUAGCAACAACUAGUUAGAAAAAGAAGCUUCUUUUUUAAUGCUUUAAACUGAAGGGCUUUUACCGUCCUUUCACUGGUGUUGUUGCAAUUUAGGUGCCUUUGUUUGUCAAAGAAGUGUAAACACUAACGAUAUCACAUAAAUAGAUAAAUUCAAUACCCUACUUUGCGCUAAAAAGAAGUGAUCAAUAUUGACACCAGAAAGCCAAGCAUUCACAAGAAUGAAGAACAAGUAACUAAACAAUGACUAUAUCACUCAGUUCACUGUCAUCAGCGGAGAUCAUCAUUAACUUGCUAUAAAAUCAUCAAAACUAGGCUUAUGCUAACAAAGCAUGAAAAUAAACAAACUACAUCCAUAGGUAGAACGAUGUACAGAACCCCAAGACAAAAACGGGAAAUAAAAUAUGACGAAAGUUCAAAUAAAUACUAAUAAAACGACCGACCCAUCCUCUCAGUUCAGUUCCUGACCGCAUUCUCAAGAACCAACCUCAAGCGCCGGGCCAGGACGUCCAUCUCCGCAACCCGCUGCUCCCGCCACCUCCUCAACAACUCGCUCUCUUCAGAAACAGACGUCAAAUCGCAGUCCGGGCGGUCAUGCAGCCCCUGCUGGGCCAGAGUCGCCUGCAGCUCCUUCAGGCACCCAUCAAACACAUCCAAGAUGGUUCUCGCCACCAGAUGUCCAGGCCCCUCCUUGCCAGAAACAUCGCUGUUUGUCGGCAAAGGCUCCUCCUUUACGAGCACAGGGUGAACAUCGACCAGAUUUGCAUCGUCAAAGUGGCUCUUUUUGUUGGCAGAGGGGACGGAAAGGGGAAGGGGAGGGGGAGGGGGAGGCGUGGCUUCGGCGGGGAGGGCGCGCGGGGGAGUGGGAGGCGCGGGGAGGGAGGGAAGGGCGGGCGGGGGAGGGGGAGGGAGUGAAAGCUGGGGGGUAGGGGGAGCCUCGGCGCGGGAACGGGUGAGGGGCGAGGCGGGAGGGGUCCUGGCCGCGGGCGAUGCGGCCGGACAUGAUGCGGAACUUCUUGCGGAGGCGGCGGAGCUUCUCGGAGAGCUGGGACCGGUUGUAGGGCUGGGGCAUCGACUCCGAGAAGCGAUCGUAGAAAAGAUUCAGGUCGCGGGGGAAGACCAUGCCCUGGGACCAGCAGCCGAGGAGGCCCUGUAGGAAGCGGAUCUCGUCGGACUCGGACCAAAUCCGGUGGAACUUGAAGGGAGGGGAGCGCAGAUCGCCGGCUGCCGCAGCGCCCCCGGGCCGCCUUCGACGCCGGCCGCGGAGGAGGCCGGUCCGUAUUCGGAUUCAUCGUCGUCUUCGGCGUCAUCGUCGUCGUCGUCGUCGUAGUCGUAGCCGUUGUCGGAGGGGAGGGCGGGGAGGGGGCAUCGGGUUCGAGCUUGGGGGCGAGGGGGACGGAGUCGUGGGUGGGGUUGGGGUCAGAAGAGGGCUUUCGCUUGAUGGGGAGUUUGCGAGCGGCCGACUUGAUGUGGAGGGUUGGGGUCGGGGUGGCCAUGGCGCGCCUGCUUGCGCGCAGGAGAUGGGAUGGAUUUGGGGCGAGGGUUGGGGGAGUAGGGGUGGGGUGAGGCAGGAUAGCGGGGGAGUGAGAUUGGAUUUGGAUCCGAUGCAGGGGCGACGGAUGGGGCACGGGGGUUGGGGCGGCGGCGCUUGUUGCCUCCGCUGCCGGGGGCGGCGGCAUCGGGAGCGGAGAAGGGAGAGGAGGAGGCGUAGGAAGGGUGCCAGAGGCGGGUGCAGAGGUGGAGGAGGUCGCGGUCAUGCGGNNNNNNNNNNNNNNNNNNNNNNNNNNNNNNNNNNNNNNNNNNNNNNNNACGGAACUUCUUGCGGAGACGGCGGAGCUUCUCGGAGAGCUGGGAUCGGGUGUACGGCUGGGGCAUCGACUCCGAGAAACGAUCAUAGAAAAGAUUCAGGUCGCGAGGGAAGACCAUGCCCUGGGACCAGCAACCGAGGAGGCCCUGAAGGAAGCGGAUCUCGUCGGACUCGGACCAAAUCCGGUGGAACUUGAAGGGAGGGGAGCGCAGAUCGCCGGCUGCCGCAGCGCCCCCGGGGCCGCCUUCGACGCCGGCCGCGGAGGAGGCCGGUCCGUAUUCGGAUUCAUCGUCGUCUUCGGCGUCAUCGUCGUCGUCGUCGUCGUAGUCGUAGCCGUUGUCGGAGGGGAGGGCGGGGAGGGGGGCAUCGGGUUCGAGCUUGGGGGCGAGGGGGACGGAGUCGUGGGUGGGGUUGGGGUCAGAAGAGGGCUUUCGCUUGAUGGGGAGUUUGCGAGCGGCCGACUUGAUGUGGAGGGUUGGGGUCGGGGUCGGGGUCGGGGUGGCCAUGGCGCGCCUGCUGGCUGGAGACGGAUGGAUUGGAAGCGAGGCGAAUGGGGGAAAGGGUGGGGUGAGGCGAGAUAGCGGGGAGUAGGGCUGGAUCUGGAUCCCUUCCUCGGGCGAGGGUGUGGGUGGGUUGGCGCAGCCUGGGUAGGAGACGGUACAGAAGGGUGGGGUUGUUAGGGAUUGGGAUUUGGGGGGUGGUGGGGGGAGGACACGGAGAGGAAAGCGAGGGCGAGGCCGAGGCCGCUUGGUUCCUUGGUGGACUAGGAUUUCUUUGAUGGCCCGUGGGCCCAAGCGCGACUCGGCUGAGCCUCCUCUUCCUCAUAAAAGAUGACGCUCCAAUGGGAUUUUUAUUUGUACUUCGUCAAAAUUGUUGCCGACUUAUAUUAGGGUGUUUAAACUCUCAGAAAUUUGGGUUGUUUACAACUAACUCUCUUCCCUAUUCUGACACUAUACUUCUGUUUUCUGCAGUUCAAUUUUUUUUAAAAAAGUACAUGGGUCUAAUCUCCAUCUUCUAUUUUAGAAAACUAUCUCACCUUCAAAAACCUGACUCCAAUCAAGAUUGAACCAAUGAUACCAUACAGGCAUGCGGUCAUUAUGGUUCGACCUUUUUAUUUUAGUAUAUGUGCAAUAUGCAUAGCUCGCUGAUACCCUAGACCCCUCAUAAAAGCAUGGUCGAGAUCAAAAAUCUAGAUAGCGGAUCGAAACUUAAAUGGCCUAAAUAUAAUCUAAAUCAAAAUCUAAAUGUCAACAAGGACCUAUCUUACCAAUGAAACAUUUAGUUAGAAAUUUCUCUGUUUCUAGUAGAACUAGAUUUGAAAAGUAAAGCCCUAGUUUCCUCAAAAAAAAAAAAAAAGAAAUGGUAUGUCCUGGAGAUGCUUAGUUACUCCAGCAUCCGGUAUGGCAAAUGCUAAACCGUAGCCUAGUUCAAACAUGGUCCCGCCAAUGCCUAAAAUUUAGGCCAACGGCAUAUUUACAUAUCUACUUAGCAAUCUCUUGCAUGCACAUCCGAGACCAGAAAUUUGGUUGUUAGUGGUUGCAUACUAACCGGAACCCUUUGUGCUUUGAGAAAUAAGACUUCGGACAGCUUCGAGAUCUUUGCAGUGCGGGUGAUCCAAUAGUAGAUUCGUGCAAAAAAAAGGGAAUCCUUCUUUCCACGAAAGAUACAACCCUGAUCCAUGACAACCAUAAGAAACUAGCGUGAAGUAUGCAAAAAAGAAAGAAAGAAAAGAAACUAGCAUAAUAUAUUCAUGCACCAAAUCUCCACUAAGAUUCACAAUCCCCUGGUUGCUGCCAUGUGAGUUUGAUUAUAACUUCAAAUCUACUGGCGGCAACGACGAAAGCAAAAACUACUGCUCAACGAACUCAGUCCCACACACCAACCAUAUUCCAUGCAAUCGAGCACAAAUCUCACAGGAUCCGAGACAAGAAAUACACAAUUCACUUAGAUUGCUAAACCGUAACAAUGAGUUUCGCACCUGAGUUAGAUUGCUUCACUUGUUCUCUUCGAUUUCAAGCAUGCCUCAGUAAGUUGUUUGUACAUGGUAGCUCAACCCUCCUUGCAAGAACGGCCCGAUGCCUGAGAUGACAAAUCCUGCAGUCCCUCUCAAUUUAGUCAUUCUUCGCCUUAAUCUCUAAAUUCACAAACACACUCUCACUGAACAGGGAAACAUCUGCAGGGCCUGGAAUUCCUUCUACAAAUAUAGUAUUUAAGCUCAUGGAACUCUUUUCAAAUAAUUAAUCACCAUAGAUUGGCAGAGCUCAUUCAUCAGCCAAAUAAUGUUUUUAAAGGAAAAAGAUCUUCUAAUGCCACUAGUCACCACCAGGCAUUGCAUGUCUCGUGAUUGGCAUGAUGGCCAUGGUUGAAUAGGAUCCACCAUGGUACAUGUGCUAUAUGCGGAAGACUGGCUCACUUUAAUUCAUGGGGCUGGAGAGGAUGCGAAUCUAAAAGCAAAAGAGUUCAGCACACAUUCACACAGAGGAUAAAUAAAACUACAAGAUUAUAUAUUUAUUCCUUAAUAAAUCAAUAAUUAGCUUUUGAGAUAGCUAAAUCAAUCAUUAGCUCUUGAGACUAUCAUGGUUCAUUAUUCAUUGUAAGAAUAAGUAGAAGAGAGACAACUAAGAUUAAUAAAAUUUGAAAAAAAAAAUUAUCAAGAAUUAGAUCAAUCUAAAAGACAUACAGUGAUGUAACCAUUACCCAAAAGUCGAUGAAGAUGAUUUUUUAAAAGAAAUACUAGACUAUAAGUGCCUUAUCUAUCUAUAAAUUAUUUUUUUUAAAAAAAAAUCACUGUUAUUAUUAUUAUCAUCAUCAUCAUCAUUAUUGUUAUUAUCAUCAUCAUCAAUAUUAUGACUAUUAUUAGUAUUAUUACUAUCAGUAGUAUUAUUACUAUUAGUACUAGUAUUACCAUUACUAGUAAUAUUACUAUUAUUAGUAUCAUUGCCAUUAUCAGCUUUAUUACUAUUAUUAGCACUAUUAUUAGUGUUACGGGGGAAAUAAGCCGCCAUGCCCCACGUGACCGGCACGCGCGCCCAGGAAGACUAUNNNNNNNNNNNNNNNNNNNNNNNNNNNNNNNNNNNNNNNNNNNNNNNNNNNNUAAUUAGUAUUAUUAUUAUUAUUGGCAUUAUUACUAUUAUUAAUAUUAUUAUUAUCAUUACUAUUAUUACUAUAAUUAGUACUUUCCUAUAAUAGCAUUAUUACUAUAAUUAGCUUUAUGACUAUAAUUAGCCGUUUUACUAUUAAUAUUAUUAUUACUACUACUACUACUAUUAUUAUCAUCAUCAUGAGAAUGGAUUCUAAAAGCCUUAUGCCUUUUUCCAACCAUUCCGUGUUUCUUAAGAGUUUGAGGAAUUCCAAUUAAUAAGAGUUUGAAGGCCUGAAUGUCUAGAUGCGUCUAGAGUUUGAAGACUUUUCACGUUAUAAAUAAAAUAUGCCUAGACAAACCAGUUCGGUGAGGAUGGUAGUGAGAAUAUUGAACUUGGCUAAAUUUUGGCUGCUGAUAUGGUGCCUUUUUUGCUUGGUAUCUAGGGAUGGGAAAAUUGCUGUAGACCGGUUAGCUAAAUAUGCCUAAAGAAACCAGUUUGGCGAGGAUGGUAGUAAGAAUAUUAGACUCAGCUGAAUUUUGGCUACUGAUGUAGUGAAUUUUCUGUUGGAUUCUUUCUUUAAGAGCCCAAAAAAUCAAAUAUCCAAAAAAGCAAAACCUGUUUGAUUCUGUUUAUAGCAGAUUAUGAAUGGAUACAUUAUGUUACUAUCCACAACUGUGAAAAGGAAUUUUGGAACAGAAUUUGUAUUUCUCUAAAUUGAAAUCAUGGCAUUGGAAAAGGAAAUCCAGGAUUUGGAGUGGUCUGCCACCUCAUAAAAGCAAAUAUUUUAGAACUGGGCAGAAAAUUUACCGAAUGGCUCUUACUUUAAACAGGAAGUGAAGCUGUGAGAAUAUGGCUGAGGGCUUCAGCCAACUUAUCCAAAAUCUUUAAUUGUUGCCAGCGAAUUCAAUAUUAAAGUGUCCUUCUUCAGAAAAUAGGCAAGUCUUUUAUUUCUUUGUGAUUCAAUGGACUUUAAGCCGUGUAUUAAAAUUCUAUUUUUAUGGGUCUUUUGAGCAAUUUGGUAGUUCUUCUACAGCAAAGAAGAAACCUGGAAGGCUUAAGAGGAGACUAGUUAGCAGUGUUUGGAGAUUGUUUAUCUAAGAUUUUUCCUUUAAUAUAACCAUCUUGUCUGAGUGAUUUAAACUUAAUGAUCAUUUCUUCAAAAGUUGAUUCGGUGGCUAAGUCCUUUGAAUUUUUCAGUGCCUGGACUGAGGUCAUGAACUUUGUUGAUCUAUAUUGGAAUUUGAUAGUGUCAGAAAGUUAUACCCAUGGUAUAAAAUUGUUCCAAAACUGAAGGUGUGAAGGGGAAACUAAAAGAAAGGAGCAGAAAGAAUUUUCAAAUCUGUAUUGUUAAUGUGGAAAAGACUUAAAUUUAGAUUGAACAGUAUAUGAAUUCUCCAACUGGCUUCUCAUGAUCAGAAAAUGCUGUCAAGAAAAACAAAUCUUGAUAAAUAAGUAUAUGAGGAUAUCUAGUUUGAAGAAUGAUACUUUUUUCACCACAAACAAAGAAUGAUACUCUGGCUAAAUUCAAGGAUAUCAUGGCUGUUUAUUGGUGGUUAAAAAUUCAGCUUCUAUGAUCCUGCAAAUCUUGUUGGUUGAUAUAAGUCAUGUCUAGGUUUUAAGAAUUAAGUGAAUUGUUAUUUUUGAAUAUUUGUCCAGCGAUACUUGUCUAUUUUUCUGGAUUAUGGUGUGUGUGCAUUGAAACCGAAGCUUUCUUACCAAGAACAAGAAGGGUUUUAAGUGAUGAGUGAAACCUUUGCAUCACCAGAAGACAUAGUUUUUUCCGUGCCAUAUUUUCUGACCUCUUUGAGUUCAACAUGUUGUGUAGGCUCAGCAUAUAAUAUAAAUUGUAUCAUCUAAUUACCUGGUCAAAAUCAUUGCACAGAAAUAGGAUUUCUGGAGCUCAGUAGAUAGUGCACUGAAAAAGAUUUAAGAAUCGUUUUGCAUGUCCGACUAAGUUUUCUUCAUAAUUGUUUGUUUAACCGGCAUUCCAGUUCUAUUUAAGCAAUGUCAGCUAUUUUUUGAGAUAAUAUAAUGCUGCAAUUUGUUACUGUAACCAGGCUAACCUUGAAACAAUAUGCUCGCACUAGUUUUUUGUUUUUUUCGUUUUUUCCAGUCACAGCAGUCUGGAAGUCGAAGUGCAGACUCAGCAAUGGCAUGCCAGAAACUGAAGGGAAACCUUCAGAUGGUGUUCCAUGUCCUUCCCAAGGACAUGCAACAGCUCCUGCUCUUCAAUCCUAAAAGAGCGGCACUUCUUCAAGGUAGCCCAGAACCCAACAAGGUUCCAGGACAUCCUUUUGUACAGGGUAACUUGGUUUCUGAAACAAAGUCAUCUUUUUUGCCACUGUGAAAUUAGCAGCCUUUCUUAGCAUUGAAUGGCCCCUAGCAAUUCCUUCUCAUUUUCAAUUGUAUAUUUUUUGUGUGCUAUAAUUUCCUUAGGUUCAUUACUGAAGCAGUUGAGGUGCAAACUGAUUGCUUCAACAAUGGCAGGUCACUGCAUAUUUACCUACAUAUUUUUAUUUAAAUGAUUUUGUUUGGAGCAGAGGAGAAUGCAGGGUUUCCGUUACAGUACAUUGAACUUCCUGUGUUAGCUAGCAUUCUGUCAUUUUUAUUAUUGACCGCAAGAUGAUAGCUUUUUCAGCUAUAUUUUAGGUUAGAUUUACUUGUUUAUUUAUUUUAAUAAUUUUUAUUAUUAUUAUUGUUAUUAUUAUUAUUAUUAUUAGGAGAUAAAGAUCCUCUGCCCAAGUUACUCUUUUUUAUGGUUAAAAGUGGAGGAAUAUAAGAUGCUCUUUUCAGCAUCAAUUAUCCUAAGAAAUUUGCUUACAUUGGUUUUUUUUGGUACAUCGGUAGCUCAUACACAAUAGGUAUGAGUACAGCCCACAGAGUCAGACAUUAAAAGAAAAUGCAAGGAAGACAAAACAGAGACAUGGUUCUUCCAGAUAAAAUCUACAGAAUGAUGAACUGCACAGGAUGCCACCCAAUCCGCAACGUUGUUAGCCUCUCUGUAGACAUGGGUAGCCCGAAAGACGACACAUUCAUCUAAAAAUUGUCGAUUGUCGAAGAGCAACCGCAUCCCCCUGACAGUAUUUCCAGGACCCAUUCAUCUAGUAAACCUUGAACUAUCUAGGAGUCCCUUAAUUUUACAAAUCAAAACAGAUUUUGCAUAAAAAAUCUGGCUAUGUAUAAUCUUUACUUUCUUUAUAAAAGAAAUGUAAUGAUAUAAUGGAUAAGCUUCUCAAGCUGUAGUAUUUGACAUGUGUAUAUGUAGAUUUAUACUCUUAAGCUUCUAUUUUCACUCCGACUUUUGAAGUUUUUAACGAAUUACAAACUUAUAUCCAUGCCAAAAAUAAUAAAUAAAUAAAUAAAAUUUGAUGGAUAACUCGCUUUUUCUUAGCCCAUUAUCAGAACAAUCCCUUUGAAAAAAGACAGCUAUGACCAUGAGUAUUUUUAUAAAUGGGAGAGUGCCUGACAACUCUCUCUCUCUCUAGNNNNNNNNNNNNNNNNNNNNCGACACUCUCUCUCUCUCUCUCUCUCUCUCUCUCUCUCUCUCUCUCUCUCUCUCUCUCUCUCAAUAUUUUCAGUUAAAUGAUAAAUGGAUUUUUUUUUUGUAACAACACAUACUCCUUUGGUGAUCCAUGUUUUCACUUUCCUUACUUAGGGUUAUGAUAAUAGCAUACACCAAGAUUAAUCAUUGUUUAAUUUUAAAGGCCCAGUAAACUGGUCAUUAACUAGGCAAUAGGGAGCAUUUUGUUUCUAUGUACAAAAUGGUAUAUCCUAAUUGUGUUUUUGCAAAAAAGGACUGUUGGGAUUGGGCUGAAAGAUGAGGAUUAAGAUGUCAAGAUCCCCCUAUACUAGGAGGAGCUUUUCUUAUUUCCUGGAGUAAAACUGUAAAACUUAUAUUAAUAAUGGAUCUCAUGAUAUUUAUUUUUAUAUCUGUAUCCAAAGAAUCGUAAUAUAUCUCCACCUGUUUUUCUUUCAGAAGUAGCUUGCGAGCAAAUUUUGUUACAAAACUUUCACAUUUUAAUUCUUAUUUUCUAAUGAGGUACACCUCAAGUUUUACCAUAUACGACCAAGAUCUAGGUUCAGUCUUGCACUUCUUGCUGGUUAAAGGACAUUGGUGGAGGUAUACAUUCAAACUAAUAUUUAGAUGUUGUUCUUUUACCGGCUUUGGAUUUGGAUCUGAAUCUUCUUUUUUCUUUGUUUUCAAAUCUUCCAUGUUUUUUUUCUAAAAACCGCUCCAUGAAGUGCACGAACAUUAAGAGAAUAUAAUAGCAAAAGUGAGGGUAUAUUUAUCAAAUAGCUAUUAUGUUUCUUCUCAUAUGCACAUCUUGAUAACAUAAAUAAUAGUUUAAGUAGAAAAAUAUUUUUCUCUUAAUUCAAAACUAAGGUUUGCCGCAUUGAUUGAUUCUCUAACCAUCAUAACAUUAUAAUUCCAUAAUAUAAUUUUUUUUCUAAAGACUGUUAAAACUUUUUUUUUUUGGCUAAAACGGAAGAACCAUAUAAUGUGUAUGCAUGAAUGCUGCCAAUAAAAUCAAAAAAUAAAACAUUACGGAGGGCACUAAGUAACUCCGCCUCUCUAUAAAGUGGAGUUAAUAUCCUCCUUCACUAUAAAGCGUACAUUGUUUUUGCAUUAUGGCCAUUUUACUGUGUGACAUGAUGAAUAUCUCAUAGCAAAGCUUUUUAAGUUUCUAAAUUAAAUGAGAAGUUUGAUCAUGAAAUAUGUUAUAUUUGAUCCAAGGGUAUUGAACGCAUUUCGCUGGCUGGAAGUGGCAAAACACGGGUUGGUUAGGUCUGAUUUUCUCAAACUGAUUUCUGAACUACCUACUAUAUACCAAAUCCUUAUUAACCAAUUAAAAAAGCAUAUUCAUAAUUUCUUAAGGAGACAUAACGUAGUUGAAUUUAGUUAGGCUACGACUAAUGUCAGUUAAGUCAAGCUCAGAUGGAUUGAUUUGGGUCAAGUUGUGCUAUAAUUGCGUUUUGGGUAGGGGCCGGUUUGAGUUGGCAAUAACAAGGGCCAAAUUUGGGUUCGAUUGGAUUGAGAGAACAAUAUGCUGCUCAAGCCUUCAACUCAACUUGGUCCAACACUCCAACUUUAACUCAAACUGAUAUUUACCGAUCUAAACUCAAAGCUGUGAUCGGUAUAUUGGCCAAAAUAAUCCAAUUUAUGGGCUUGGAUUAACCCAGUCCAAUAUGCAACUGCAAAGGAACAAAAUCAGGCAUUUUGACCAUGGCCAAGAGACAUUUGCCGCGGGCCCAACCUGGAGACUAGUCUACAAUACAAGACUGUAUAAAACACUCUUUAAUUUCAUGUUUUUUCCCUGCAUCAACCACCUGGGUAUCUUUUUCGCUUAGGUGUUACGGCUGUCGGGAGUAGAAAGGAUGGUGUUGGGUGCCAAAUGCGGCACGUCGCUGCUGCUGUCGUCCUCUUUCCUUUUCUGUGAAGAGUGCUUGGUCCUCAUUCACUAGUUUUCACUGCCGUAUGUGGUGGUCUUUUUAUUGACUCGUUUGGUUGGUAAAAAAUAAUUUUUUUUCUAAAAAUAUAAUUCUUGAGAAGUAGACUUUUCAAAAAAAAAUAUCUAAAAAAAUAUUUUUGAUAUUUUUGGUUAAUAAUAAAAAAAUGACAGAUUUACAGAGUGCUUAUAUUUGGUUGACUAUCCACUUUUCUGAGAAAGUUAUAUGUAAUUCUUAUUAUACUCUUAAUAAAAAUUAGGUUUUUAAUGCCUCUUUAAUGCUGAAGGGCUUUUUUAGAAAAAAUAAAAAUGGAGUGAUUUCUGACUCAUGAAAAAGUAACUUUCCCAUAUUUCUUAUAGAAAAUUUUUUUUCAUAAAAUGUAGGAAUCAUAUUUCCAUAGGAAUCCAACUUUUUUGUCUCUCUCAUUUGAAAACUCUAGCCAAACAAAAGGCAUCUCAUUACUUUUUCGUUGACUACACUUUUUCUUCUUUUUUUUUCUGCGAACCAAAUGAUCCCUAUAUCUCUACCGGUCUCACUGUAGCUUUGCAUAUAAAACCCCCUCAUAUGACUAUAACAAUGUAAGAAAAUCUUCUCACACUUUUGCUAAAAUAAUACUGUAAAUCAAGAAAUAGCUUGCAUGCAAGAGUUGAAGUUUCGAAUUAUUUGGAUUCUAAGCAGUAUAACUCUCAAAAUAUUUUGACAGCAUUUAUUUUUGGGAAAAAAAUUGGGUGCACCAACCUGGCCGAGCAUCAUGUCAGGCAGGUCAUCUUAUUUUUCAGGUCAAUCAUUGAAAUGAGCGCAUAAUGAAUAAAAUCCAAAGAAAUGAGAGAAUCUAAUUCGCAUAGCACAUAACUACGUGGUGCAUGAUAUAAUUUUUCCACAAAAUCUAGAAGCAGCCAGGACUUACAACUCUCAUUUCCCAAUAAAUAAAUAAAUAAACAUUAAAAAUUAGAUCCCAUCGCAUCCAGCGGUGGUCCAAAAGCUCCUCCACCCUUCUGGAUACCCAAGAGGUGACGCACCUCGUUUCAUUGGACAAACCAUUUUGGUCCUUCCCUUGAAGACAAACAUAUCACCUCCGCCUCCCUCCAAAGAUGACCGCCACCGCUGAGCUCGGCUGCAGCAGGGGCCCGGCCCUUGUCAUCGGCGCCACCGGCUAUAUCGGCCGCUUCGUGGCGGAGGCAUGCCUUGAGAGCGGGUGCGCCACCUACAUCCUCGUCCGCCCCGGCUCGGCGUGCCCUGCACGGGCUGCCACCGUCGAUGCUCUCCGAGCGAAAGGUGCCAUCGUCCUCGAGGUGAAACCCUGCAUGCUGUUUUCUUCCAGUUAUAACCAUGUUACAUAGGAUAUCAGAGACCACACUUGAGCUGAUGAUACGAAGCUUUCAGGGAUCCGCAAAUGAUAACGACUUCAUGGAGAGGAAGCUGAGAGAGGAAGCCAUCGAGGUGGUUAUUUCAGCGAUGGGCGGUCCUCAAAUUCUCGACCAGCUCAACCUGCUCGAGGCCAUUAAAGCCGUCGGCUCCAUCAAGGUAGCAUGACCGCAUGUCUCCUUGUCUCAGCUACUUAUAUGUGCCUUCAAAUAUAACUUCUUUUAAACCAAUCCUUAUUUGUACCAAAAUUAAUAACCUGCUAUAUUUUUAUAGUCUUAGAGCUGAUGAUUCUCCUGUAGUUCUAUAUUUUUUUUCUUUUCACAAUUUCCAUCUGUAUAACAUGCGAUCUUGUAGCAUUCUAUUCAAGACGAAUUUAGCCUACCUUAAUAUGUUAUAAAAAGCGUGUUUCUUUCCUUCCAGAGGUUUUUGCCUUCAGAGUUUGGUCACGACAUCGAGAAGGCUAACCCCGUGGAGCCUGGCCUGAGUUUCUACAGGGAGAAGAGGAAAGUCCGUCGUGCCAUUGAGGCUGCAGGGAUCCCUUACACCUACAUCUGCUGCAACUCCAUUGCCGGCUGGCCUUACCACAACAACACCCACCCGUCGGAGAUUACUCCACCACUGGACCGGUUCCAGAUCUACGGUGACGGCAACGUUAAAGGUAUAACUUCUCCUGGGUACUAUAUCUUUUGCUACGAGGACAAAGAAAAAAAAAAAAUCUUGCGACGUGUUGCUUAUCGGUUGCUGCUGUCUCUUUUCUAGUUUUCUAAUCAUUGCUCAUGGUUGGAUUUGCAAGUUCAUGUAUUUAAUACUAAUGUUAUCUGUAAGAAUAUUCGCGUAUCAAAAGCUUCAUCUAAUUAAAAAAAACAAAGUGAUCGUAGGUCUCACGCGUCAUUUCAUGCAUUAUUUAGAGGAGAGGACUAGUCCCAUCCAAAUAUUCCGUGCAAGCAAAAAAUAAUUAUUUUACUCUAAUAAGAAAAGGGAUUCCAGAUUUGGUAUAAUGGAAAACUGAUCUUGUAUUUUUCACAAUUAAUUUCUAUAUUGGAAAACUACCAAAUUUGUAAUCAUAGAAGUAUAAAAUAUACAAGUCUACAAAAUUAAAAAAAAUAAAUAAGAGAUGAUCUUGCAUGGUUGGAAGUUCGUUGAAUAAGACCUUGCAUCGUGGAAGUGUGCUGAAGAAAAAAGAAUCUUGUGCCUAGGUUUGGUAGGUAUCUAUCAUACUCAAACUCUCAUGCUUAUAGAGGAUGAUUUUUUUUUGAGCCAAUCUUGGGGUUUAGAAAAAAAUCAAAAAAUUUUAAAAGAUGACUAUAUAUGAGUUGUCACUCUGAUAAGAAAAAAUCUCAAAAGAAAAAUUCUAUUAUAUGCUGCAAUUCAGAUCACACUACAUGUAAUUAUCUUUUUCUACAUAUUUAUUAUAUUAUUAAAAUGUAAUUCAUUUUUUGGUAUUUAUUAUACUAUUAGUGAAAGGCCAAGCUAACUUUUAAAAACAUUGUUAUUUUAUACUAUGAUUAUAAUGUCUAUCAGAAGGAAAUUAGGAGUAACGAUACAGUGGAUUGAGUGGAGUUUCCGCUAUACAAAACUAAUUUUUUUAAAAAAAUAUGUGAAGGUAAUUAUAAAAAAAUAAAUAUUAGAGAAAAUAUAAAAAUAAAUAUAGCAAAAGUAAUUAUUCGUACUUGUGACGGUUCUUUCUCGCCCACCUCCACUUGGAGCCAAGCAACUGAGAGGGACAUGGCUCGGAAAGCCAUCACAGCUCACGACGUAGUACUUCCGUCUUCGGCCGAAUUUUAAAAAAAAGAAUUACAUAAAUAUCUUUUAAAUAUCAAAUUAUGUAUGAAUAUUUUUUAAAAUUAAUAUUUAUAUAUAUAUUCUCAUAAAAUACUGAUUUUUUAUUCUAUUUUUUAUCUUUAUUUUUGCAUAUAUAUCCACGUCACCUAAUAUUGUUAAAAAUUUGAUAGUUUCAAAUUAAAAUUACUAAAAUAUUUUUAAUAGGUACACAUGCAAAAAAAAUAUAUUUAUAAGACGAUCACGAUAGAAAACAAAAAAAAUAAUUUCAAAAUUUUAUUUUUUAAUAAAAAUAAAUAUAGUUUUUAUUAAUGGUACUAGAAGAAUCAUUAUAUUAGAAAUAUUUGUGCAAAAACUGUAUUUUAUGAUGGUACAGAAAUAAAUAAAAUUUUAAAAAAGUAUUCAUACAAAUUUAAAUUUUUAGAAGAAUAUUUAUAAAAAAAUUGAAAAAUAUAUUUACAAAUAUAUUUAUAAUAAAGUGAUAUAAUAAUUCUAAAUUUAUCAAAAAAAUAAAAAAUAUAUAUAUUAUAUACCAGAAAAAUUUUAUGGCCCCGCACCCAACGCCCAUCGCCUUCACGAAAGCUAGGCGAGCGGCCAUAAAAUAAUAUCAUGAGCUCAGCCAUUAAGACCAGCCCAUGGCUAUGAGAGUUCUAAUGGCGUUAUUAAUUUCAACAUGCAAACGCUAGCAAAUCAGGGGCGUGAUGAUGCCCAAAUCUUGUAUCAGGUCUGCCCGCGUUAAAAUUAGGCUGUCAAGUGUACGAAAAACAGUCCAUACUUUUUAUAAAAAAAUACUUUUAUUUACAAGUGCUUGACUUUAUGAGCUUGCAUAAUUUAUUUAUCUAUUUAUUUAUUUUGAUUGGUUCCACUAGGAAGAUUACAUCUGGCUUGCACUACUGCAAGGCCACUAAGAUAGGGUCUUCUAGCUGUUGGCUUCGGUGGCAAUCUCGCAUACCUUUCAUUCUUCUUCUCAAGGAAAGUAAAAAAUAUUAUUUUGUGGAGAAAAUUAUUAAAAAUUUUCUUACAAAUCCAUAAUAUGGACUUACGUAGCCAUAAUAUGAGUUAUCAUUAUAGUUUUAGCUGUGAUCGACUUGAUAUAAGUACAAAAAUAAAGCCAUUCACCAAACUCCUUUCGUUUUGUUUGUCCUGCAGCUUUCUUUGUUGCUGGGUGUGAUAUUGGGAAAUUCACAAUCAAAGCAGCAUAUGACUCUCGUACUCUCAACAAAACCGUUCAUUUCCGCCCAGCUUGCAAUCUCCUUAGCUUGAAUGAAAUGGCUUCGAUGUGGGAGAGUAAGAUCGGACGGACCCUGCCGAGAGUUUCCUUGACUGAGAAGGACUUGCUUGCCGUGGCAAAAGGUUGGAAACAUCUUGGUCUUUUCCAUAUACUAGAUAUCCAAAAAUUCAUAAUAUUUUUAGGCUUUUGCAGCAUGAAGUUAAUUUGUUGUAAACUGGUGUCGGUGGACCAAGCACGCCCAAUUAGUAAUUUAUGAUUCAACCUGCAACCAACCAGCUUUAAGUAGGUUCAUGAUUAGCAGAAAUAGAUUCGAAUCACAAAUGGAUCAACCUGCCUAGAUUCUUUAAUCUGUCUAGCCGAGUUUUGUUUAAUAAUUAGAUCAAGUCAAUAACCCGACAUGUUUAAGCGGUUUAACUCAUUUAAAACUUAUUUAACUAGUUUUUGUCCAAUUUAACAUGACCCAUUUAACUAGUUUAACCUGUUUAAACUCAUGUGACCUAUUAAAAAUCCACUUAACCACCUAUUUAACCCAUUUAAUCUGAAUGGAUCUAUUUAACAGAUGGGCUACAUGGCCUAGUUAGGUUACUUAUUUAAUAAAUGGGAUGAAUUUAGAUUUGAAUUUUUGACAUGUUUAAUAAAUAGAUUGAUUCUAGAUUGAUAAUUUUCUUUUAUAUAACCUACAUCUAACCCAACUCAUAUCAAACUUGACCUAACCCAAUUACCACCCCCUAGUUAGCUCGAAUAGAUCUCUUCGGAAAGAUCUAGACUUGGACUACAAAAUUAGAACCAUACACAUUCUGAAUUUUCGUUAAUGCUGGCUUCCUCAAAUAACUAUUCCCCUCCAAAAACCACUAUUAUCAAUUACAAUAUAAAUAGAGGCUGCUUCUAAUCCCUGUUAUUAACUAGGUUUAUUUAGAAAUGCAAUAGUAACAUACUCUUAUUAAUGACAAUCACCGACCAUUAUAAUAUGAAAUAAUGGAUAGUAACAAAUAAAUAAUAGUGUUAUUUAAUUAUGGCAUUUUUCAAUGAAUAAAAUCUUUUCUAACUGGCAGAGUGAUUUGGAUGUUUUUUAAAAAAUAUUUUUAAAAAAAUUAAAAAGAUAUUUUCAGUGCAGACAGGCAAGCAAAAAUGACAAAUACUGACCAUUAUUCUCCUUAUCUGCAAUAACAAGAAAGCUAACUAAAACUCCUUAUUUAAAAUCUUAUUAUAGAACAUAACAGAGGCCUUCAUAACAAUUAUAAAGCCGAGUCUUGGGCACUGAGUCAGGCCACCAUCAUUCCAAACCCAGCCAGGUCUGUUCUUGGAGAACCAGCUGUUUCCGUUGGUCAAGUUUGGGCAUCGAUCAGUACAGGCCAAGUCCAGGUCUGGUGGUUUUGUCUUGGCCAUUUAGCUAAGCUAGAAUCAUGUUGCAGACUGUGAGACAACAGAGACAACAUCGAGUGAAAGCACUGAAAUGGAUACUGAAUUGUGGAGGCUAACAAUUUUCUCAGCAACAUGUCUCAUAUGAUAACAUCUAUAGAAUCUCAAGACUAACCAAAUCACAUUUUGUUU